rnacentral:sRNA from 1 species
CAAUACUUUAGCUUUUCGGAACCGGUUGCGGUUCUAGUCCUUAUACUCAAUCAUACACAUGAAAUCUCGUCAUAUUUGUCCCAAGACACUAACA